rnacentral:rRNA from 1 species
UACGAAGGGGGCUAGCGUUGCUCGGAAUCACUGGGCGUAAAGCGCACGUAGGCGGCUUUCUAAGUCAGGGGUGAAAUCCUGGAGCUCAACUCCAGAACUGCCUUUGAUACUGGAGAGCUCGAGUCCGGAAGAGGUGAGUGGAACUCCGAGUGUAGAGGUGAAAUUCGUAGAUAUUACGGAAGAACACCAGUGGCGAAGGCGGCUCACUGGUCCGGUACUGACGCUGAGGUGCGAAAGCGUGGGGAGCAAACAGGG